GGCAUGCAACAAAUAAUUACAUUACAAAACAAAUACAUAACAACAAAGAAGCAAGCAAGAGCAUUGAAUCUAUAAUUGUCGAGAGCUUAGAUCUAUGCCUUCCUCUUUUUCCUUCAAUCGAACCUCACGGGGACCACCAUGUCUCUGAAGACACUGUUACGUUCAACUCUUUAAACUUACAUUUAGAUUGCAAGGACCAGCUUUAGAAACUUCACAUCUCCUAGCUUGAUUCUCCCAUGUUUGUUAUGAUUUUCUGCAACUGAAAAAGACUUUCUAUUGCAAAAAAGUAUGUAAUAUUUCAGCUUGAUAGCCUAUAGUUUUCUGGGACUAAAUGACAUGACGUUACAUAUCCAGCCUGCAAUGCCAUUUGAAACAGAGAAAUAGGGAGAGGAAUAGAUUGGAUUGAGAAAAAGAAACAGAAAGGGGAGGAGGUUUGGAGAGAAAAUAGAGAAGAAGAGAUAUUUCUUAUAUUUGAUUCUUGAAUGAAUCUUUCUUGAUACAAGCUACCCUAUUUAU
rnacentral:lncRNA from 1 species